rnacentral:lncRNA from 1 species
CCAUAUGUAAUUUUUGAAUUUUGUUCCAAAACAAGGUCGUCGAGGAGUGACCGAAGACUUGAGGGAACGAACGAGGAAGACUGAUCCUAAAUAAAUAGAGUUUCCGACGCUAGGAGGAAUUCCCCUGAAUAGCAAAGCAUCACAUCAUUGGAAAUAGCAAAGCAAGAUCGGUACCUCAGGAAUGAAUCGGUACCUUGCUUCUGUUCUGUUCUAAUCGGUACCUUUCCUUUGGAAUCGGUACCUUGCUUCUGUUCUGUUC